UGGUGCACUGUUAAGUUCACGAUCGUUGGCCUUGUUUUCCAUUUCUCUGUUCCAUUAUGGUAUUUAUCUACGUACAUUACGAAAUCGAAAGGAAAUGCAGUCUGCAGUAUAGCAACUGCCAGAUCUUGAAGCACUCCAAACAGCUCCGGGACCAUUCCAAAGCAAGGAAACUGGUGAAAAGUUUGUUCAGACUCAUGAGGGAACCCUGCACGCCAUGUCACGCUACAACCUCCUCGAUCUUCUGCGACUCCAGUCUCUGAUCUUUCCUCUGAUUCUUCUGCUGCAUCUACUACUACAUUUUUUGGUAGCUGUGAUUUACAGGUUGGCCCUGUGGAAUACUGAUUCACCAUCUGGAUACACCACACCACCACUAGUCUCCACUGCCUUAGACCACUCGCUACCAGUAACCACUUCUGUGUAGUGGUUCAGACCACUAUGCUUGCCCCUUCCAAUCUGGGGGACCUGUGGGAAAGCAGAGUAGCUCUUCAAGAUUGUAGAAGAUCUCCGUUCCUUGUACGUACUUGUUUGGGGCAUCACAAUGUACCCGAGCACUCCACAAAUUUAUGACCACAGAGUGAGCUGAAUAACCAGCCUUCUGAUCCCGAGUCAUCACAAUAAUACAGCAAUGAGAUGCCUGCAGAAACUACGAGCAGAGCAAGCAAAAGGAUGGCUGGUGGUACCACUGUGGCUGUCCCAGCCAUGGAUGGGGGCACUUCUCCGCAUGCUUGUCAAGGAACCUUUGCUCAUCACGAAAACGAACAACGUGCUAACUCAUCCCUCUUCGGCAGAGAAUCACCCCAUCAUGCAGCAUACCAAGUUGAUGGCUUGCCUGGUGUUCGGGAAAACCUGUGAAAACGAGGCAAUUUGACUGAGGAGGAGUGGGGUAUGACUGCGUCAACACUGCCAGGGGGCCCUUUAUUCACUCGGGAUAGUGGUAGACGGCUGCAGGGCAAGCAACCUUCCCUUGGUCAACAGACUACUACGAGGGGUGUUUCAUCUGAGACCACCAACAGGUAUUCUGACACCUGGGACGUCAUGCCAGUCUUGCAGCAGCUGAAGACCAUGGCUCCCGCUCAUAACCUCACUCUGAAACUAGCGAUGCUUAUGGCUCUUACACAGGCAGCCUGUGUCCAAAGUCUACACCUGCUAGUGCUAAAAGAAAUUAGCAUAGGGGAAGAUUCCAUUACCAUGUGGUUAGGAGGUAACAUCAAACAAUGCCGGCCAAAAUGUAACAUUCAGUUUGUGAGAUUUAGUGUCUAUACCAGAGACACGAACCUCUGUGUAUGUGACACUCUCAGAUUGUACAUUGCCAAAACAAAACAGUUAAGGGCUGUUGGACAAGAGGACGGUCAGUUGUUCAUAAACUUUGUCAAGCCUUACAAACCUGUAUCAAAGGACACAAUAGCCAGAUGGAUCAGGACAAUGCUGGAUUUGUCGGGGGCGGACACUGCGAGGUACACGGCUGGCAGCAUGCGACCAGCUGCAGCCUCAAGAAACCACGUUUGCCAGACAUUAUGAUAAGGUAAUUGCCCCCUGAUGUGAAUGAAUUUCAAGAGGCAGUGUUAGGGUAACCUUGGGUGCACGUUGUUGGGAAAUGUUUGGUUGCACAAUGAAAGACCUUUUGU
rnacentral:misc_RNA from 1 species